rnacentral:rRNA from 1 species
AGUGAACGCUGGCGGUAGGCCUAACACAUGCAAGUCGAACGGCAGCACAGUAAGAGCUUGCUCUUACGGGUGGCGAGUGGCGGACGUGUGAGGAAUACAUCGUACUCUACUUUUUCGUGGGGGAUAACGUAGGUAAACUUACGCUAAUACCGCAUACGCCCUACGGGUGAAAGCAGGGGAUCUUCGGACCUUGCGCGAUUGAAUGCGCCGAUGUCGGAUUAGCUAGUUGGCGGGGUAAAGGCCCACCAAGGCGACGAUCCGUAGCUGGUCUGAGAGGAUGAUCAGCGACACUGGAACGGAGACACGGUCCAGACGACUACGAGAGGCAGCAGAGGGGAAUAUUAGACAAUGGGCGCGAGCCUGAUCCAGCCAGACCGCGUGGGUGGAGAAGGCCUUCGGGUUGUAAAGCCCGUUUGUUGGGAAAGAAAAGCAGCAGGUUAAUACCCAGCGGUUGUGACGGUACCCAAAGAAUAAGCACCGGCUAACUUCGUG